ACAGGACACAGCUGGUAGUUAAACUUCUUUACUUAAAGUGCACCUGCAGUAAAAAUAUUUCCACCUCACUGUUGCACAACAUUAUAACCGAUUUCAUCUAUUGAAAGAUACUUUGUAGAAAAUGAGUGAACCUUAAUUAUGUAAUUAUUACUCAACAUUUUGUAUCUAUGAUCUGUCUGUCUGUUAUACAACUUAACAACUUAUUGUGAUUGUUUUUGUCACAUUUAGAUUUCUCAAGAUCAUCAGUUUGGACAGAAUUCAUUUGAAGAAUUAAUAGCACUAGCAGGUUCCAAUAAAGGCUGGAACAGAACAGACAGAAAAGAAUCUGUCAGAAGAAAUUCAACUACUGUUCGUGCACCAGAUGGUGAAGUAGAAAAGUUCCUAAAAACUUCUGCAGCUUGCAUCUGACAGAGAUGCAAAAAGAAUAAGAGAGCGGGCCUGAAAACAAGCAAAUUCAAGUCUUUCCUUCUUUUAGGGUACACUUGAGGAGUGUCCAGAUGUUUAUUAAUGUUUUAUUAAUGUAAUGUUAUGUUUCAAAUAAACAUGUAAACAUACUGUAUAUUUUUCUUUUUUUUUUAAACACCUACAGUAAAGUGUGACACUUAACACAUUAAAAGCAUCACAAACAUUGAGGAUAGAACUUCUAAUGUGCAGUUUAACUUUUUUUAACUAAAUAUAAUAAAAGUUUUUUUAAGAAGGGAUA